rnacentral:rRNA from 1 species
UACGUAGGGUGCAAGCGUUGUCCGGAAUUAUUGGGCGUAAAGAGCUCGUAGGCGGUCUGUCGCGUCUGCUGUGAAAACUCGGGGCUUAACCCCGGGCCUGCAGUGGGUACGGGCAGACUAGAGUGCGGUAGGGGAGACUGGAAUUCCUGGUGUAGCGGUGAAAUGCGCAGAUAUCAGGAGGAACACCGGUGGCGAAGGCGGGUCUCUGGGCCGGUACUGACGCUGAGGUGCGAAAGCGUGGGGAGCAAACAGG